rnacentral:rRNA from 1 species
AUUGAACGCUAGCGGCAUGCUUUACACAUGCAAGUCGAACGAGUGGCGGACGGGUGAGUAAUAUAUCGGAACGUACCAAGUAGCGGGGGAUAACUAGGCGAAAGAGGGGCUAAUACCGCAUAAUAUUGGAGCGGCCGAUGUCGGAUUAGCUGGUGGGCGGGGUAAAGGCUCACCAAGGCAACGCUCCGUAGCGGGUGUGAGAGGAUGAACAGCCACACUGGGACUGAGACACGGCCCAGACUCCUACGUGAGGCAGCAGUGGGGAAUUUUGGACAAUGGGGGAAAGCCUGAUCCAGCCAUGCCGCGUGUAUGAGAAGGCCUUAGGGUUGUAAAGGACUUUUGGCAGGGAAGCGGUACCUGCAGAAUAAGCACCGGCUAACUACGUGCCAGCAGCCGCGGUAAUAC